GACGUAGGGGGCGAGCGUUGUCCGGAGUUACUGGGCGUAAAGGGCGCGCAGGCGGUCGCGUGGGCCAUCGCGUGAAAGCCCCCGGCUCAACCGGGCGGUGGCGGGUGGGACCGCGCGGCUGGAGGGUGGUAGGGGCCAGUGGAAUUCCCGGUGUAGUGGUGAAAUGCGUAGAUACCGGGAGGAACACCCGCAGCGACGGCGGCUGGCUGGGCCAUUCCUGACGCUGAGGCGCGAAGGCUCGGGGAGCGAACGGG
rnacentral:rRNA from 1 species